UUUUUGCACUAAGGAUUGCAAUGGCAUCCUUUUUUUGAGGCACGAAAAAAAAGAUAUAAUGGAAAGCCUGGUCCCGU
rfam:Tenacibaculum dicentrarchi strain AY7486TD, complete genome.